UCCUACGGGAGGCAGCAGUGGGGAAUAUUGCACAAUGGGCGCAAGCCUGAUGCAGCCAUGCCGCGUGUAUGAAGAAGGCCUUCGGGUUGUAAAGUACUUUCAGCGGGGAGGAAGGAGAUAAGGUUAAUAACCUCGUCGAUUGACGUUACCCGCAGAAGAAGCACCGGCUAACUCCGUGCCAGCAGCCGCGGUAAUACGGAGGGUGCAAGCGUUAAUCGGAAUUACUGGGCGUAAAGCGCACGCAGGCGGUCUGUCAAGUCGGAUGUGAAAUCCCCGGGCUCAACCUGGGAACUGCAUUCGAAACUGGCAGCCUGGACUCUUGUAGAGGGGGGUAGAAUUCCAGGGUAGCGUUGAAGGGCGUAGAGAUCUGGAGGAAUACCGGUGGCGAAGGCGGCCCCCGGGACAAAGACUGACGAUCAGGUGCGAAAUUUUAGGGGGCAAACAGGAUUACCUACCCGGGUACUCCAC
rnacentral:rRNA from 1 species